rnacentral:rRNA from 1 species
GACGAACGCUGGCGGCGUGCUUAACACAUGCAAGUCGAACGGAAAGGCCCUGCUUUUGUGGGGUGCUCGAGUGGCGAACGGGUGAGUAACACGUGAGUAACCUGCCCUUGACUUUGGGAUAACUUCAGGAAACUGGGGCUAAUACCGGAUAGGAGCUCCUGCUGCAUGGUGGGGGUUGGAAAGUUUCGGCGGUUGGGGAUGGACUCGCGGCUUAUCAGCUUGUGGGUGGGGUAGUGGCUUACCAAGGCUUUGACGGGUAGCCGGCCUGAGAGGGUGACCGGCCACCUUGGGCCUGAGAUACGGCCCAGACUCCUACGGGAGGCAGCAGUGGGGAAUAUUGCACAAUGGGCGGAAGCCUGAUGCAGCAACGCCGCGUGCGGGAUGACGGCCUUCGGGUUGUAAACCGCUUUCGCCUGUGACGAAGCGUGAGUGACGGUAAUGGGUAAAGAAGCACCGGCUAACUACGUG